CAUCACUUACUAGUUCAAUGAUUUGAGGUCAUUUUCUUGUCUUCUCACCUGUAACAUGAGAGUAAUAUUAGCACCUAUCUUUUAGAGUUCUUUGAAGAUGUAGUGAAAUGAAGGGCUUAGCCCAGUGCUUAGAAUGUCAUAGAUGUUGCUGCUUAUUGCUGUUAUCUUUUGGUUUUGGUACAAAGUGCUUAGCUAGAUAGGAUUUGGUUUUUGUGGUCAAACUGCAUGAUUAUAUCAUAGAGAUGUAUUAAUCAACUUUUUUUGUAAAGGUAUUAAUAAAGAAUAAUUUAUUAAUGUAAUAUAGAUUACAUCCACAAACAAGGUCAUUUCUGAAAUUCUCAGCGGUGAUAAGGGAUUAUUACUGUCUCUGGCAAAUGGAAAGACCUGAAACAAAUAUUUCCUGCUAGUGUGGUUUGUUGUUAUUACUGUCGUUAGUAUUCUUUUCCUCUUUUCAGGAGGAGAUGGAAGAUUGAGAGCAGAGUGCAAGAAUGGGAAGAGGGCUUCGUGCCCUGUGCACGUUUGCCACCUAGUGACCAAACUGAAUGGUGUGCUUCUCACCUCAGCGUGAUAGCCUGACCUUGACUCCUGAGUUCCACGAUCGCUUCACAACUGCAAGUCACCAUCAUACAAAAUUUGAGUUUCCCUAAGUCCGCGCCUUUGAGAGCUUUGGAACGAUAUGCAAGUUCAAGUCACCAUCCUGUUUCUUGCUACCUCCUGUGAGAAGACCAACAUUUGGGUUACACUUGUUUCUACUCUUGUUCUUCUGCUUGUUAUUGUUGCCUCUGCAGCCAUUGAUCACACACGUGUUGUCAUACAAAAACUGGUUAGCCUUUUUAUUUGUCUUGUGAAUUUUAUCAUUUGGUUCUUAAGUAUUACAAAUUAAUAUUGUGUACUCUCAUUGAUAUACAACUUGCAGUCAUUGUAAAUAUGCGUGAGUUAGGGGUGAGAAUGGCAUGCAAGCAAAAGAACAAGGAGAGGGAUGAUAGAGAUGCAAGAAGAGUAAAGAGGGCAAGAAAGUUUAUGUUAAUAGCGAACACAAUGAAAGUUCUUUAAAUGCUUGAUAAUGGUGAAAGCAACACUUCCUAGGGCAUAUUUUUGGUGUUAAUGAACCUACACAUCAUACAAUAAAGAAAAUUGAGAAAGCAGUUGGGGCCAGUGAAUCGGGGGCACACAAGAAUCACUGAGAAAAUCAUACACAACUCAAAAUGCCACAAUAGGGAAAAUAUAAAGAGAUUUGCACUUGUGGCUUCUAAAACAGAGAAGGUUGAAUAGGUCUCUUUCUGUGUGUAAAAUCUGCCAGUGAGCAUCACAAAAAUGCAAAUUUAAAUUUCAAUCUGGAUGGAAAGUUAUAAAAUUCAUUGCAAGUAAUGGGUGGUUGGGUAGGUUUAAGAAAUGCCAGGUGGGUGGAUCACUUGAGGUCUGGAGUUUGCAACUAGCCUGGCCAACAUGGUGAAACCUUGUCUCUACUAAAAAUACAAAAAUUAGCCAGGAUUGGUGGCGGGUACCUGUAAUCUCAGCUACUCAGGAGGCUGAGGCAGGAGAAUCGCUUGAACCUAGGAGGCAGAGGUUGCAGUGAGCUGAGAUCGUGCCAUCGCACUCCAGCCUGGGUGACGAGAGCAAAGCUCUGUCUCAAAAAAA
rnacentral:lncRNA from 1 species